CCUCCCCUCCGCCACCAGGCCGGCCUUCGCUUUGCACACGCGCCUUUUGAUGUAGCGUCCAAAAGAGGCAGAGGCGCUUUAUCCGCGUGACGCCCCGCGCAGCUUGAUGAUGACAUUUCGGCACCGGGUGGCCGAAUAGCGGCUUCCAGCUCAGAGGCGGGCAACACUAUGGGUGCCACAGCUGUGUGGCGGGGGACGCGCGUGAGACGGUCCCGCGCCCCGGCCCGGCGGCUUCCCCGAGCCCCUGCCGAGGCCGUCUCCGUUCCUCCGCGAGUCCUGGGACUCGGGCCUGCCCCGGCCACUCUGCCCCAACCAGGCGGGCUUGGGAGGCGAGGGCUCCAGUUGAGUCCUCAUGACGCCCUCCUGGGCCAUGCCUUUGUGCCACCUUCCCGCGCGGCUCGUACACUCUGUUUCGUGGUUUACUAAGAAGGCCAUUUUCGACUCUCCACUGGAGGCUGCUACGGCGUUUCCUCACCUGCAGCAGCCCAGCUUUCUACUGGGAGAAAAACCCACUGACCGUGUGGGGCUGCACCCUGCAUCUGGCACUCCGACGUGGGGCUCUCCCUCGCUGUGUGAAGUUGCAAUCUGAGUGUGGGAUUCAGCGGAGGAGUUCAACGAGAGAUUCCUGAGGACUACGGUCAGUAAGCUUGUGGAAAAGGACUACAGCCCAUGUGGGUCCCCUCCUGACAAUUAAA